UCACUGGGUAUGUGACUGCCAU
rnacentral:miRNA from 1 species